ACACCUGGCUGAGCGAAUGGUUUCUUUUGGAGCUGAUAAAGCUGCCUUAUGAAAUCAGCUGACAGGGACGAACUGUAAAAGCAACAUCAGCUUGACCAGUAUAUAAUAUUACAGUGGAUUGCUCAUCUCAGUUAAAGCUUUUGAAAACCACAGCAUCACAGCUUGUUUUGGACUUUGUUACACUCUUUUUUUCAGCAUGAAAAUGUGUGGUUUUGUAGGGUUUCUAAUUCUUCAAAGAGGCACAAAAGACAAAUUGGUAGAGAAAGGAUGCAAAGUAUACAUUUUACUUUAAAAUAUUAAGCAAAGGCGUUCUGCAAAAUGGGAAAGUUAGUUUUUUAAUUGAUUUGGAGGAGUGGUUUUUCUUUUCUUAGACACUUAAUUCUGUUCCAAUAUUAAUUUUUCAGACUGCGUUUGUGUAUCAGAUAACACCACCAUUCACAAGUUAAAAUUCUUUGGGUUUUUUUUUAUGUCUGUGAGAUGCUACUAAGAAAAUAGAGAUGAGCUCCCUUUUUAAAGCUUUUGAUGUGGUGUCAUAGAAUAGCAUGUUGUAGAUACAAUCAGCUGCUUUGGUACCUUAGAACUAAGCAAUUGUAAAUAUUAAAAUUUAAGGUGGGAAGUGAUGUUCCUUAACGCUCAGCAGUUCAGAUUGGACAUAACCGACAUAGUUCUUCACUCCUUUCUUUAAAAUUAUAUUAGACUUGUAGCUUAGUUUUAUUUCUUGUUUCUAACUUGCUGCUGAUAAUGUAUGAAUUGAACAUGCUGUGUAAGCUGUGUCUUAGUUACUGAACAGUUUAUGCAGUGCUGCUUUGCCAAAUAAAGUUAAAAGUAAAAGAGGCA